CUUAAACAUCUGGGGAAGUAAUAUGGUUACACCACUUGUUUCCUGCUUCACAAGAAAAUGACAAAGGAACAAGAUCUCUCUCCUCUGGUACUACAAAUGACUCCUAAGAUACAGGAGGUCCUAUGAUGGAAGAAGCUUACCAAUAAAAUGCACAAGUUUGUAUCAGUUAUCUAAAAUGGUGGACAGCUCUGGAAUGGUGGAGAAACUGGUACAAUAGAUGAUGAGGCUGAUUUUUUCCAAGGAAGUUUGAAUUCAAGAUAUGGGUGAGUGUUGGAGAGAGUUCAAUUGGUUGCCCCGUGAAAGUGAUGAGGGAAAGAAGGCAAGUAUACAACUGUGGUGGAGUCCAUUGGAAUGAAAGGUACAGUUUGGUUUACCCCCAUGUGCUGUAAAGAGUCAUAGGUAGAGUGUCAAGUAUCAAGCAAGUAAUUAAUGUUUUUUUUGUUUUUUUAGAUAUAGAUAUGAACCAAGAAAAGCAGACAAAAAUAAAAAUGAUACUGAUAUUA